AACGAACGCUGGUGGUAUGCCUAAUACAUGCAAGUCGCACGAGAAAGUCUUUCGGGAUGAGUACAGUGGCGCACGGGUGAGUAACGCGUGGGUGACGUGCCUUUUAGUGGGGGACAACCUCGGGAAACCGGGGCUAAUACCGCAUACGUAGUUUUUAUUUGAAUAGAAAAUUACAAAGAUGGCCUCUAUUUAUAAGCUAUCGCUAAAAGAUCGGCCCGCGUAGCAUUAGCUUGUUGGUGGGGUAA
rnacentral:rRNA from 1 species